ACCUGAAUCUCAUAACUCUCCUGAUGAGUUCUUUGGUCUGCCCACCAGAUCAAAAGUAAUCAAUUUUAAUCUAGAAUUUAAAUUUUCAAAACUUUCUUAUUUGUUAAUUCGAGCAAGUAAACUACUGCUCUCACUUCAUUACAAACAGUACUUCUACCUGCAACACACUUGAGCAAACCUGUUCCUCUUCCUUUCACAGAUAUUUUGUUGCCAUUUGCAACUGUAGCUGUCUCUGAUUAGUUAUCAUUUAACCCUUGGGGAAAAUAGUUAGCAUCUCAUGUCAUGUGCAUGGAAGUUGCCAAACCAAUUAACCAACUAGAAAGAUUACUGUUAAUAGCACCAGUUUUCCUAUAUUGGUGGAUAGUUUUGAUGAACUGCAAAAGCAUUUUUAGUUUGCUUUCUGUUGCCACCCUGGAACUUUUCUUUAUUAGUGCCACUUUGUUUUGUUUGAUUCAUUGCAAAUGAAGGGAAACAACUUUUCUGCUUGUAUAUGUUGAUAAUAUAAUUUUGGUUACUGAGGACAAACAACAUUGUACAAAAACAAGAUUGGGUGCAGGCCUGGCCAGGACAUAGGCUCUCUGACUGUGACAAAGGUGACCUGUGUGCUUGUUUGCUUGCUUGCUUGCUUGCUUAAUUAACAGCUGUUGGGAACUUCAAGGUCCCUACUCUCCCUUCUUAUGGUCUUUGUACUGAACCUGGAGACUCCAAUAGAGAGCAUUCCAUGUCAAGAAGGAGGGCAAGUGGGCACCCUAUCAAAUGACAGGGCAGGAGCUACACAGAGCAGGGCCCUUUCACUGGUGUAUGCCUCGCUCUUCCCAGACCUGCUCUCUUUUGGCCUGUAUUUUGAAGCUUUAUAAUUUAGGAAGACUUUGGAAGAACUGGUUGACAAGUCUUAUCAGUCACUGACGCAUGAGCGGAAUUUAUUUGCCGCUAUUCUGGGCUUCUGGUGCACCAGGGUUUACACCAGCGUAAUAGAGUUGACCAGGAUGCCAGAAGGGAUACAAUCUAUGAGCUUUCUCCAUUAUCUGCACAGCAGGGGGUGUUUAGUCGACAGUGCAAAGGCUGAGCUGAAGCAUUCCCUGCUGGUUACCUGCUUUCAGCAAUAGGGGUCGCUGUUUGGUAGUACCCAAUUGGUUAGCUGUCAGAUUCUAGAGCUUCCUAUUGGUGACUCUUAGGCAAUUCACAAAACACAGAGUCCAUUCAUAAAACACAGUGUUCAUUCAUAAAGCAGUAACAUAAAUCUCCAUUGCUACAUACAGUCAUACCUCGGGUUACAGAUGCUUCAGGUUGUGUGUUUUCAGGAUACGGAUGCACCGAAACCCGGAAGUACUGGAAUGGGUUACUUCCGGGUUUCGGCACUCGCACAUGUGCAGAAGCGCUGAAUUGCAACCUGCGUGUGCGCAGACACGGUGCUGUGGUUGUGGACGCUGCAGGUUGCGAACAUGCCUCCCGCACGGAUCAUGUUCGCAGCCCGAGCAUCCACUGUACUGGGUGUAUGUUUCAGCAGUUGAAUGUACAGGUUUAUGGUCAUGCUGUAGUGUAGUGCUUAUGCGAUUGUGAAUAAAAGGUGGCUGGGCUCAUUGUUUUGGGGUUUGGGGGGAAGAGUUGACAAAACUGAUUUCCAGUAAGUGCCCCCCCCCUUUAUUUCCUUGAGUCUGUACUCUGAAUAGUCACACUAGGGACCUAGAAGGUGCAGGGCUUGUCAGUCCAACCCCUGCACAGUCCCAUCAGGGCUGACCUUAAGCCAAUUGGAGCAAUUUGGCCAAAUUUGGCCCCAUGUGCCGCUCCUAAGGGGGCCCCUGCACCAGGGCAAUCUAGAUGGAUUUUAUUUAUAUCUAUAAGAUUUUGCAGACUUUGGCUGUGAACUGGGGGGGGGUCAAGUUGCGCCCCACUGCUUCAAAUUGGGCACCACUGCCUAGCCCUGAGACUCAUAGUUGCUGGGCCUGAGUUGACCUGCCCUUGCAUGAAGUCUUGGGUUUACAAUUUUGGGAGAGGGGAGACUGCGGCACUGGGGAGCAGGCAGGCUGGCAAAGCCCCCUAGAUUUAGAGGCCUUAGUUGCCCUGCCCUCACAUGAAGUCUUGGGUUUGCAAUUUUGGGAGAGGGGAGACUGUGGCACUGGGGAGAGGGCAGGCUGGUGAGGCCCCCUAGACUUUGAGGCCAGAGUUGCCCUGCCCUCGUAUGAAAUCUUGAGUUUGCAAUUUUGGGAGAGGGGAGACUGCCUGCUGGGGAGCUGGUGGGCUGGCAAGGCCCCCUAGAUUUAGAGGCCCUAGGCUUCAGCCUACUUAGCCUAUAUAUAAAUCCAGCACUGGCCCAAGUCUAACAUGUACCUCACACAACAACACCCCCUCCAGUUCCACAAAGUUUGCUCUUUUCCUCCCUCUGUGCCGCUGUCUUCAGCUCCAUCCCCUGCUUUCAAGUGAUCCUAAAUUACCAGAGCUACAUUAAAGGCUGUACUCCCAGAGGACAUCCUGCAAUUACUUACUAAUACAUUUCCUCAAACUCUUGCUCUGGAAUAUCUCAUAGCAGUCUGACAGAGAUAUAUUCACCCCUAAGUUCUCUUUAUUGUCCACAGCCGCUGUUCUGCAUAGAAGAUUUUUGAAAUACAAAAGGUUAACAAGACCACACUUAGAGCUCACAUUUGGCCAGUUUGAAGCUCGACAAGAGGCAUUAAUCCUAUAACCAUAGAACUGUAGAGUUGGAAGGGACCAUGAGGGUCAUCUAGUCCAACCCCUUGCAAUGCAGGAAUCUUUUGCCCAACAUGGGGCUCGAACCCAUGACUCUGAGAUUAAGAGUCUCAUGCUCCACCAACUGAAUACAGAGCAAAGUUAGGAAUUGCUGUUCUCUCCCUCCUGCAGUGUUGCAGAGAACUGGCAACACUAGUUAACCUGGGCUUUUGUAUAGCAGAGUAUUGCAUGACCUGAAAGAUGUUAUUGAGGAUCACACCUAAAAAAGAGGAUACAACAUGUCUCCCUCCACUACCCACCCUUCCCCAAGUAUUUCAGCACACACACACACCCCAAAUAGAACUCAUGCUUUGGCCCAGAGCAGGUAGGAGAGGAAGAAAAGGGGUUAAGGGAGAAGUUGGGCAGGGGAAGCUGUGGCUAUACCCUCUUCUGCUUCUGAGUCACUGUCAGAGAGGCUAACAUGAUCUCCAGAGUGUGACAUGGCAACCCUACGGAAGAGACCCGUGCUGUUGCUGCCUCCAUCACCUCGUCUGUUAGCUGCCCUGACACUGAGGAAGUGCAGAUCACUGUUUAUUACUGUGCACCCUAGGUCUGACAUUUAGACACUGCCAGGGCUGAGAGAGAGAGAGAGAGAGAGAGAGAGAGAGAGAGAGACGCUUGUUUUCUGGCUUAAUUUAUAGAAUAGAUUCACUUGAUGAGUCACUCUGCAACUUGAUGCAUUCUGUCUAGAUAAAUGAUACUUUUUAUCCCUAUGAUAAAAGGGGAUGCAUGUGAUAUCAAAAUAAAAGAAUGUUUUCUCAGCCGAAUAAAAGUUGAAGUUGAGUAAAAACAUCCCAAGAAAGCUGGAGUUUGGAGUCUUUACCAUUUAUAGUGAAAAUUAUCAAAUGCCCUGAUAUAUUUUUUUUCUCUCCCUGUCCUCCCAAACACAAUACCAGCACUGUGUGUCACCUUGGCUGAGAUGUGGAGAAUGGUCGUUUCUGAGACACCUUCUAAGUAUCGCUGGCCAGAUGUACACACCAACUUCCAUUCCGUGCCCUUGCCCAGUUAACAGGGCUUUGCCAAGCCUCUGGACAAGUGUCUGUGCAAAGUGCUCUGGAAACACCAGCUCAGUGUGCUGCAGUUAUCAAAAAUGUCAGCACCAAACAACC